CGAUUUGAAUUGUCCAUAAGGAGCUUCAAUAGGAUUUCUUCUGGAAAAUUUCACCUAUAAUUGUCAUCAUUUGAAAUGUGCAGGCAUACUCUACUGUCGGUGCCCCUGAUUAUAUCGCUUCAGAGGUUUUGCUGAAGACGGGUUAUGGAAUGGAAUGUGAUUGGUGGUCACUUGGUUAUCAUAUUUGUAGUGUAAGAGUUCCUGUCAUACCUUUUAGUAAAUUUGUCUCUCUUGCUUCAUAUUUGUAGUGUAGUCUUAGGCUCCAUUUGGUCUUCACAUCAAUCUUUAUGAAUAUAUUUUUUUCUCAAACCAAAUGGAGCUUAAGCCACUUUUUAACUCCGCCAAUGCAACUUCUUGCAUUGCCGGUACCAAGCCCGGGUAAAGGAGGAGGGAGAAGGGCGUCAGGGCGAGCCAUGUCCUUUUCUUCCAUUUUCUGAAGCUGUUAUAGCUUUUGAGUUUACUACAACUAGAUAGUUUUUAAUUGGUGAUAACCACUUUCCCUUGAGAUCAAGCAAGAGCUGGGAGGAAGCGUUUUUCCAGCCUAGAGGGAGACCACAUCACAUUGGUUAAUGUAUAUCAGGCAUCUGUAGAGUGCUUGGAGACUAGCAAGAUGGCUAACAGUAAAAAGAAAACAAUUGGGAAAUGCUUGAGCAAAUGGUGCGGAGAAAUUUUCAUCAAUAGCCAUUCCCUGAGGCAUGCCUAUCUUUACCUUAGUUUGGUGGUUGUUAUGUCUUGGAUAUAAUGAGUUCUUAACUGUGAAUUAGGCGAUCCUCAUGGUUGGGCCAACCUAUUCGAGGGGCUGGAUGUCACAGGCUCUUGUUCAUUGAAGCUCUGUUUUUUUUCCCUCUUUUAAAGAUGUAUAGCUUUGUAUUGUUUAUAACCAUGUAUAACCCUAACCGAUCUGUGUAUUCACAUUGCUUAGUCAUUUCCAAUUUAACUACAUUUAUCUUUUAUUAUUAUUGUUUAAUUGACCAACUGAUGAUCAUAUAGGCAAAUUGGCAACAUAACAAACGGGACCCCAUCAUUGGCAUUUAUUAGGAACAUGAAGAACUUAAGUACCUUGUAAGUGAUCAGGAAAGAACAGUUUCUCAAUUUGAUGAGGAGUAAUCUCAUCCAAGCACUUUUUGAUGGCCUACCGCCUGGAACAGUCCACUUUGGCUGCUACAUCGUCUAAACUUCUCAUAUGAAUGAAAAGCCCCCCUUAGUUCUCCCAGAUGGAGAAUCAUUUAAUUAGAUGAGGGGCUUCUUUCUUUUUUUCUGAAUUGGUGAAUGAGGCACUACCGAAUGAUUUGAAGACAAAGCUCAGCAUCGACGAUGAUAUAGCAUCAAGUCUCAAAGACACUUUCCUGGGCCUCUGCAGGCAUGAUUGCCUUGAGAAAUAAGAAUCUUAAGAGGGCAUCUUCACAGACAAACCCAUCUAACUAUUGACACCCAGGAAUCUUCUGCUAUGGUUGCACGCAUGUUCCAAAAGAUCACUCGUGCCAUGCUUGCACUCCCAAAAACUCUUGAUCCGGUCACUCGUCAGCAACUACUUAUGCCAAUAUUCCAUCAAGAAUCAUUGCUAAGUGUACGGUUGUCAAUGGGCCGAGCUUGGGCUUGCAAAAUCAAAUUUUCAAAUAUCCUAGCCCAAGCCAACCUCGUGUUGAAGCUCCUGUGAGUCUACCACUAAGGCAUGAGUAAGGACCCCACACAUGUAUACAAGUUAGCUAAUGCACAUGUCUCCACAAUUGCCAGCAUGGUGGGGAGGCGCAAUAUCCAAGCCAUCAAUUCAGGUGCACCUCACCGUAUAGAAGUUUCGUCCCUAAGAUAAAUGUGGUCCAUUUGGUAGGUAUGCCAUGAUAUUAGAAAAUCAGUUGACAGGUUUGAAACUUUGGCUGAUAUUUCCAAUAAAAUCUAGGGCACAGUCUAUUGUUGGUAGUUAUCUUAUUCUUAUGGUCUUGGUUAAGAAAUGUACUACAACAGUAGUGACAUUUCUUUUUACAUGUUCCGUGAAAAUCUGAAGUAACUUCAAAGAGUUGAACAUAAACUGGGUUUAGUUUUGUCAGAGGGAAAUUUAUAAAAUUUAUCAGUAGAGAUAUCAACAUAAUGAAGACCUAGACCCAGCCUCAUUGAGUUUGGGUACCCAUUAGGUACCCACGUGUCUUCGGAUCUAGUUUUCAAGUUGGGUUCAAGGAAAAUACGAGCAUUUACA